GCGCCCGUAGCUCAGUGGAUAGAGCACCGGACUUCUAAUCCGAUGGUCGCAGGUUCGAAUCCUGCCGGGCGCGCCG
rnacentral:tRNA from 3 species